GCCAAGGUGACUUAGUGGUUAAUGCACCUGCCUAGUAAGCAGGAGGCCUGGGUUCAAUUCCCGGCCUUGGCA